GGCAAGGAAACCUCUCCCUCUUUCUUGUGUUUCCUUCCGUCCAACCACGAGACGACCGUUUCUAUUCCACUUGGAGGAAGUGGAUCUCAGUUGGCCUCUUUCAGAUCCCCCAUCCUCCACUCUCCCCAUCCGUGGCCGCCGCCACUACACGAAAAAGGCUGGCGGCUGCCUCAACCUCGCCAUCCACGGCCAUCUGCCACCGCAGCAAUAGCCUCAUCCCGCAGGCGGGGACGGCCCUGACGGCGACGUCACCGGUGCCGUUGUUGUGGAUGGUGCCCAUCUUGUUGCAAGGGACUAGCAGGUCCCUCGUGUGCGUGCCAAAGCUGGAUGGGCCUGGUGCAAUGAGUACAUACAUGCUCGAGGUGGAGUCCUCCGCAUCGGACGGGCGGGAUCUCAUAUUCUCUGUUUUUUGAGGGAUCUGUGGAGGCCAGGGGCUGCGCGCCUGCGACGAUCUGCGGACGGUACUAAGCCUGGUGUCGUUCCUUUGUCUCCACCGGUGCCACUUCCCUCGCCUUGUCAUAUUCACCGACCUUGGCAGGCUAUGAGCAGCAUGUACCACCAGGUAGUACAUGUUCUAUGGAGUCUUCAUCGGUACAGACAGGGUGUCGUUAAGGAGCAUGGUUCGUGGUGAGAUGGUUGCAAAAAUGGUCUCUCCCUCUAAUGACUUCAGUGGGUACGGCCGGAUCUGCGGCAACAAAGGCACGGGGAUGAACCCUGCUUGAUGCAUGACGAGCGCCACCAGUGCUUGAGGAGUUGGAGAUGGACGAGUAGCCUAGUGUUCCGUCCGAUGUUUGUAAUUUCAAGUUUUUAGGGAUCCUUUUUGACAUGCUAUAUCCAACCAUCCGUUGGCAAGUCUACGCAGUAGCAUACAGUUGGAUUAGCUAUCGGACGAGUGUGUUCAGACGAGUUUGAUCUUUUUUUCUUCUGUACAUGUGUAUUUCCCUGAGAUUUUAUGUAAUGAUUAUUUAUUUAAUAAAUAAAGAUAUAUUUUUCUGACAAAA